rnacentral:rRNA from 1 species
CUUGCAAACUAAAGAUGGCGACCGGCGCACGGGUGAGUAACACGUAUCCAACCUGCCGAUAACUCGGGGAUAGCCUUUCGAAAGAAAGAUUAAUAUCCGAUAGUAUAUUAAAACCGCAUGGUUUUACUAUUAAAGAAUUUCGGUUAUCGAUGGGGAUGCGUUCCAUUAGUUUGUUGGCGGGGUAACAGCCCACCAAGACUACGAUGGAUAGGGGUUCUGAGAGGAAGGUCCCCCACAUUGGAACUGAGACACGGUCCAA